GGUCACGUUACGAAAUUAGCUCUUUAAUUAUUAUUAUAAUUAUUUUUCCUCGGUCUCCAUUUAAAUUCUCUAAUUUCUCGUAUAGGACUACUGGGGUGACGUCAUACCUCGGUGAUGGAACGUACUCCACCUAUCGAGAAUGAUUUCGUUUUCUGAGAGAAUUUGACGUUUACCUUGGCGGAGAAACGCCUCUCGUUCUUUACUUGACUGUGAGCUGUGGUGUCGAAUAGAUAUACCAUAUAGAAUGGCGGAUGAUUUCCUCCAACUUAUUUUAUCACAUAAGAAAUUUAACGUAAAGUAAAAAGUUACCACCAGGGAUUGUCUGGAGUGAGGAGACAUGUGGGUGACAACUCCUGUUGGAGUAUAAAUAGGAAUCAUUCGCCAUUUGGGAGAAACCCUACCAUGAAGUCAUAGACCUUAUUUGACCACCUAGAGAAACCACUACAGCCACAGUCAAGUCAUCAUGGGAAUACGUCUUUUUGGGAACAAGCUAUGGGAGCGUUCCAGCUCAAUUUUCGUCUUGGCACCUGGGCCUACAGGAGUCAUGGGGUCGCACCAUCCUGGUGCAUCAUUUUCUAGGAUGUAACCGCAACCUCGUUUGGGAACAUUUAGUGAGGUGUUUUAGUAACUAUUGGUUUUUUUUUAUAUUUCAGACUAUCUGUUAAAUACACUAUGUUUUUUUUCCAGAUUUAGGUUACCUCUGGUUUUUUUUUGACAUAUUUGUAUAUUAGAUUAUUUGGUUCCCAAACUUUGUAUCUACGGUAACUUCUUGUGCACAGGAAUAAGCCUAGAGAAAAUUAGGUUUUUAAUACUUUAUUAUUGCUUUGAUAUUGGUUUAUGUAAUUCGGGUAAAUUUAUUUUGUAAUAUUACUAGCUUGUUUCCCAAAUAUUUUACUGUUAUUCGCUUUAUUCCGUUUGUUCGGUUAAUUUAGGUCAUCGUCGGUAUUUAUCUCAACUUCAUUUCUACUUUAUUCAUUGUAUAUCUAACUUUGCUUAAUUCAUUUAGUAUUUUCCCUUAGUUAGGCUCAUGCCUAUUUACAUAUAUUUAUUUAUAUUACUUUUAAUAUUCAUCGGUUUUCCUUUAGUUGUACGUAGCAGGCGUACUAUAACCAUUUGGUAGAAGACUUAUGUAAUUUUGUACCCUAUAUGUUAGUGAAAGGUAUUUAUACCUGUAAUUUUGUAACAGGUAACAUUGUUGUUAUCUUAGGUUGAACAUAACUUUUGCAAACUUUUGUCAUGUUAGAGUCACAUAAUAUGAACUUGUUUAACUCAGAGAUUGUUAAAAAUCUGGUAGUUCAUUUUAAUAAAUGUUUAUUUAUUUUGUA